UGACGAACGGGUGAGUAACACGUGGGUGAUCUGCCCUGCACUCUGGGAUAAGCCUGGGAAACUGGGUCUAAUACCGGAUAGGACCAUGCUUUAGUGUGUGUGGUGGAAAGUUUUUUCGGUGUAGGAUGAGCCCGCGGCCUAUCAGCUUGUUGGUGGGGUAAUGGCCUACCAAGGCGGCGACGGGUAGCCGGACUGAGAGGUUGGUCGGCCACAUUGGGACUGAGAUACGGCCCAG
rnacentral:rRNA from 1 species